rnacentral:rRNA from 1 species
UGCCAGCCGCCGCGGUAAUACAGAGGGUGCAAACGUUGUUCGGAAUCACUGGGCAUAAAGCGCGCGUAGGCGGCAUAUCAAGUGCGGAGUGAAAGCCCACGGCUCACCCGUGGAAUUGCUUUGCAUACUGGUUUGCUAGAGUACGGUAGGGGAGAGCGGAACUCUUGGAGGAGCGGUGAAAUGCGUAGAUAUCAAGAGGAACACCAAAGGCGAAGGCAGCUCUCUGGUCCGUCACUGACGCUGAGGCGCGAAAGCCAGGGUAGCGAACGGGAUUAGAUA